rnacentral:lncRNA from 1 species
GUCAAGGAGGUGGGGAGGAGGACUGAGACAUACAGAGACACGCAGGCCAGAGAUCAGUUCCCGCCAAGGCUGUGGUGGGGGAGGGGAGAUCGGCCUUGCAAGCUUUCCUCGGGAGUGAGCAAAAAUAGGAUUGUGUCUGUGCAGGGAGGAGUUCCCGAGGAAACGGCACAGGAGCGGCAAAUGCAGAGAGGAUGCAGACUCUGAAGAGGGAUCGCUCAGCAACAAAGGAGCCAGAAAAGGCAAGUUAUACACACCGUGUGCCACAGAGGCGAGCCUGCAAGUGUGCAGAUGAGGAAACUGAGGCUUGGAGAGGCUCUCUGCCUUUGUCAACCUGGAGAUGCUGGGAAGGAAUUGAGGCCCAUCCCACCUCAGAUGCCCAUCCUCUGUCGUCAGGAGUGUUCUCUGGUUCUUCAGGGCUUGGCCAUGUGGUUGUAAACCCCACAUGUGGUUCUGUGGUUGCCCACACAGUCCUAAAAAUAGCCAACAGGAACCCAGGGGCUCCCCCUUGGUGAGUGGCAGCAGACCCG